rnacentral:snoRNA from 1 species
UGGUCAUUUCAAAAACUUAUGAGGCUGUGAAACCAAGAACUCUUAACACUAUGACCAAAGAUUGGAGUUCUCCAUAGGUUGCCAUAGUCACUCGAGUGCUAGUUUUCCUGAGGAACCAUAAGA